UACGUAGGGUCCGAGCGUUGUCCGGAAUUAUUGGGCGGAAAGAGCUCGUAGGCGGUUUGUCGCGUCUGCUGUGAAAUCCCGAGGCUCAACCUCGGGCCUGCAGUGGGUACGGGCAGACUGGAGUGCGGUAGGGGAGAAUGGAAUUCCUGGUGUAGCGGUGGAAUGCGCAGAUAUCAGGAGGAACACCGAUGGCGAAGGCAGUUCUCUGGGCCGUAACUGACGCUGAGGAGCGAAAGCGUGGGGAGCAAACAGG
rnacentral:rRNA from 1 species